UGUAGAAAAUGGGGACAAUGGAUCCAUAUUUUAUGGGAUCCCAUAAAUUGAGGAAACAUGUAUCCAUGUUUCAUGGGUUUUACUUUUCUAUGAAAUAUGGAUACAUGUAUCCAUGUUUUAUGGGUUUUACUUUUCUAUAUUUUAGUGUGUAUAUAAGGUGUUGUAUGUAGAUUAGAUAGGAUGUGGAAGAUAUCAUUUGCAUUGUUAUUUGUAUUGUUAUUGUAUGUUUUAUGGUAUCAGAACCAUCCAUCGCGUGACUAGUACUUCCAAUCGUACCAGACGAAAAGUUGCAGCGGCUGCCUUCGAUUUGCCGAUGGAGUUAACAGUCAAGUCCGCCACUAUCAUCAAAUGCCAGGAGAGAAGGGAAAGAGUCUCCCGCAUCCAUCGGAACUAGCAACACCACCAAGUGUUGUUGCUUUCAGCAGCUGCUUUCAGUAGCCACACCAUCACCUUCAAUAGCUGUGCUGUCGGCCAUAUCCGACCAUCCUUUGUUAGCGUAAACACUGCAGUCAUCGACCUUAGAUUGGUCAGGCCGCCAAAACCAGCCACCACUGAAGCCGCCACGCGUCGCCUAUCAGAAUAGUAAGCUAAAACUUCAUUUGCUUCGAUCUCUCUCUCUAGUGCUCCGAUUACGACACUAUCACCACAAUUGAACUAGUCUUUCUAAGUGCUUCUAGAUCCCUAAGGUUUCAUUGCCAUACGCCAUCGUUCGCCACCAUCGGCCGCCGUCCUCUGCCAUUUUCUUUUUUCUGCUAUCAGCUACUAUUCCUUUUGGUACACCAGUGACUCUCAUCCACUGCCUGCAGCACGUUCUAUCCAAUCCUCAUUUAAUCAGAUAUGGUUUUAGAUUUGUUGGUGAGACUACUACUAUUCAUAUUCAGAUUUGGUUUGCUUCAUAUCAUUGUCACUAACGUGAAUAUCAACAACCAUUAUUAUUGAUCAAAUGACAAACUCCACUUCAUCCACAUUAGAAUCGCCAAGUAUCCCGACUAUCUCCACCCCACAAGUGUCUUUAGUACCUAGUCAGUUUGAAAAUUCGCUAUACAAAUCACAUAUCAUAAAUUGAAUAGGAGCAAUUUUAGAGAGUGGUAUCAAUCGGUAUUGCUUGUGAUCAAGGGAGGAGGAAAGAUGGAUAUUUGACAGGAGCAAUGACAACAUCUCCAUCGGAUUCUGACACCUAUAGUGUCUGGGAAGCAGAAAACUCUAUUAUGAUGGCAUGGUGGAUAAACUCUAUGGAGCAAAGAAUUGGGCGCCUAUAUCUAUUCUAUGAAACAACAAAGGAAGUGUGGGAUGCAGUACAAGAAAUGUACUUAGAUCUGGAGGAUAUAUCUCAAAGUUUUAAAAUUCGCUCUAGAAUUCGAUAAGGUACAUUAUCUGUCAUUGAGUACUUUAAUACACUCUCAAAACUUUAGUAUAAAAUCGAUUUGUUUCACAAUAUUGAAUGGAAGUGUUCGGGUAAUAGAGUUCUAUACAAUAAGAUGGUGGAAAGAGAUCAAAUAUUUGAUUUCUUACAAGGCCUGAAUCAAGACCUUGAUGACGUUGAGGACGUAUUCUUGGCACAAAGCUACCUAACAUGAAGGAGGUGUUUGCUAAACUCAAGCGUGAGGAAACAAGGAGGAAAGUAAUGUCUUCUUCAGUACAAAACUCAUCCAUCGAUAGCAGUACAAGGAUCUGCUUUACUGCAAAUUGAAAUGAAGGAUAUAAUCCAAAAACAACUUAUGAAAGGACAAACGGCUAUGGUGUGAGUAUUGUAAGAAGCCCAAUCAUACCAAAGAAAUGUACUGGGAUAUUCAUAGCAAGCCUCCAGAUUGAAAACCACGAAGCCAAAGGAAAAAAAAAUGCCUAUGUGGCUGAGACAACAAUUGGUGUGACCUCCCAACCAUUUACAACAGAACAAAUGGAAAUCAUUCGAAAACUCAUAACUCCUUCAAUCAUUGAUGCCUCCAAAAUUGUCCCUACUAGCUCUACAGUGCUUACAUCGCAUAAAAGUAUAUUUUCCUUAUUGUCAUGUAAAAACUCACAUGAUGCUUGGAUAGUGGACACAGGUGCAUCUGAUCACAUGACGAGCUCCACUACAGGAUUCAGUAACUAUCAACCAUGUAAGGAAAGUAUUGGUAUUACUAUAGCAGAUGGAUCCAUGUGCACAACAAUAGGGAGAUGAGAUAUAGAACUCAAUGGGUUGAAGUUGAAUUCAGUUUUUCAUGUCCUAAAUCUGCAAUGCAAUUUAAUUUCAGUGAGUAAACUAACCAAGGAUUUGAAUUGUUCAGUAAUGUUUUUCCCUUCCUAUUGUAAAUUUCAGGAUUUGUUUUCAGAAAGGACGAUUGGGAAUGCUGAGAAGCGAAAUGGUCAACUUAAAGAAACUUGUCAGUCAAGUUGCAAAUUUGGAGCAAUUGAUGGUGGAUUGUGGAUGGCGGUUCGAAAGCAACUCGUGAAGUGUUCACGGGAGCUUAAAGGAUGGCCGGAAUGUUUGGGUUUGAGGUGUAACAGAAGCAUCAACUGACAGCAAUAUCAUCGGAAGAGUUUCAGGCAACUGAGAAGGGGCAUUUUGAAAGCCUAUUUCCAACAGGAGAGGUUCAAUCCAGGAAAGCUGUGGAGGUUGGAGUCAGGACUGCAAAAAUAACUUACUCAUAUCCGGUUAAAUGGUAAUAGAUUAGCACUAUUUGUUGCUAAGCUAAGUUAAUUUGCAAAUGCAAUGCAAGGAGGUCUGGUUGGAUUGUUUCCCAAGUCCAAAGUCAUGUUUCUAUUAAUAGAAUUAUAAAAAAAAAAAGAAAAAGAAAAAAGAAAUCAAGCACGUAAAUCCAAUAAUACAUAAUGUAAUUGCGGAAUGGAUGUCAUGAGAGUGAGAGACCGUGAUGGAUCAUGAUCAUGGAUGAAUGAGUCUGCCGACAGCCCCC